ensembl:lncRNA
UGGUUUUCCUCCACAGUGAGUAGAUGACAUUUAAUUAGAGGGAAAUUAUAAGAUUGACAGGGGCGUCAGCAGUGAGCUUAAAGGGAGCACUACUCUGUACGUUAACAGAAACCUACUGAGAGUAUAAGCUAAUGGGCUGCACAGCUUUUCAGAUACAACUAAUGCACUUCCAGCUACAGGCUGCAUCUGGCUGUUUAAUCGAGGAAGGAAAUGCCCUGCUGCACUCGUGGACAGCUGCUGGGUUGUGCUGUGCAUCAUGAGACCUGUGGCACUCUCCGCCUUUGAGCCCUGCGUUAUUCCAUUCUUUUCUGGAACCAGAACAAAACCACCCUGCGAAGCACAGCGCCCAGCAGCCUGAGAGCACUCAAAUGAGGACUGUGGAUGACAACUGCAGUUUACAUAUGUUGGAGGUUAGUUUCGGGCUCAUAUAGCUGCAGAGAAAGCCUGCUCAUUUUCUGCUCAUUAGGGUAAUUGCGCUCGCUUUGCAUGGGAAGUGCUGGCGUGAAGGCAGCGGUUUCAUGCAGACUUUGUUCCACGACUGCUUGGUGAGGCUGACAAACACAUCGCUAAUAGGACUGAGGUCCAGCCCAGGAGGAGACCCGCCAAGCAGCGACGUCCAGCGCUGCUGCAGGUAUCAAAAGUCACCACGCGAAGAGCCUCGUUAAACUGUAAACCUAAACUUUGUCCUCCGCGGUGCAGGUCAAAGUACCUCGUACGUAUCAGAGGUAUGUGCCAAAAGUGCCAUUUAACACCUCCUACAAGCAGCCACUUCAUCGCUAAAUACCUCCUGGCCUUUUCAUGUCGCUUUUUAUUGGGCUCUAACUUUCUUACAUUUGUAGACUGACAACCUGAGAGCCGAGCGUCACUCACGGUGCCACCUGAUUUAGAGCUGCUCGUGAGGAGAACACACAUGCGUGUAUAGAAAAACAGACUGCAGUGCACACUUGUGGAAAAAACCCGUCCUCUAACCCCCCCACCUGCACUUAUGGGUACAUUCUGCUGUUUUCAGCUAAGUGCCCCAAACUAACUUAAGAAGUGAGCGGCGCAUCUGAAGGCUUAUUUCGAAUUUUUAAGUAAGUGAGGUCUUUUCUGUAGUACAAAACAAGGUAACAAACAGCAGUUACUGCACCACUGCCAGCUCCCCCUCCACCUGCAGCCUCCCCCUUCCCACCUCCCUUAGGCAGGCCAGGCCCUGCUCCCCGGCGUGCGGUGCACUGAGCCACAGAGGCAGGCAGGAACGCUCCCGAGCAGUGAAAGGGCAAAGACUCACUUUUAUUACACCUUUUAUGAUAAUUAUUAAAAACAUCAAUGGAAGUUAUCUUCUGCGUUGAACUCUGGGUAACAAAUAACCACAGUGUUUUAAGAGAGCUAUCUCGCCCCCUCAUUGCCUGUGCUGUACCUGCCACCAAGGUUACCCGAGAGCUGCCAGCGAGAAGAGCCAAACCUCGCACGGUUCCUCAGCUUUGUCACACACAAAUACCAAAGUGCAACAGCCAUUACUUCGCUGUGCUGCAGGUAUAGCAAGGAGCCUGCAGUACUCUGCUGCGCUGGCAGUGCCUGCUUUUGGCUUUGGCUUUCCAAAGUAAUUUGGCAUGAAUAAAAAAUGAGGACUGCAGACCUCUGUGAAGUACAGAGGUCACAGACCAAAAUGCCUACAUGUUAAAAACCAAUCUGCUGUAGCAAACCGUGCUAUCUCAUCACUGCUUUCUCAUCGUCCAGAAAUGAAACAGCCGUCCAGAUACUUCAUAUAGCCAUCCAGACUAUAUAAAAGAUAUUUUGUUUAGUUAUACUACGUGCUUUACGGUUUCUACCGACAGAAAAACUUUCCCAUUUUAAUUACAAAUAAAGUGUGUGCAGAACGGUUUCCAGCAACAUCUUUGGGAAGAAAAAGAAAAGCGAUCCAAAGCACACACUUUUACUGAAAGGACUGCUGCAAGUGCAGAGGGUGCAAACUCGUGCUGUGGUCUGGAUGAGUGGAGCACCUUCCAGAUUGUCCCUAAAGCUCUGCAGCCUCACCAGUUCUUCCCACGUCGAUUUUAACAUGAGGACAAUACAGCUGUUUGGUUACAGAACCAUGUAAACAAAUCACUGUUUGAGUACAAAAACAUUUCCUGUAUUAGUCAAGUUAACCAACGACGAUAAAAGUGACUUUUCGCUCCUUGGCCUUAAAAUUGAGACUGGCU